UUUAAUAUUGGGCCAGCCAAAGAACAAAUACAAUGGCCCAAGUAUGAUUCUUUUAUCCAAUUCCCACACAACCUAGACUCAAACCCGCCUGACCCGAACCGACCCGCUUUACCACUCUCACAGUUACCCUAAUCCCUUCCCCAUUCUGACAGAGACCAUAUGAGAUUUCCCAGACUCCUUCCCUUCUAAAGAGAAACGAUGCUAGCUUCUUCUUCUUUGACAAAAAUUCACACACCCAAAUAGAUCCCUCUCACUCAUACACAUUCCACCCUUUCACACACACUUAGGCCUCUAGUAAGAGCGUGAAAUUACAGAGACCAGAUCUAAACUUCAAGGUUGCAAGGUUGGGUUCAAUUUUUAUUUGUUUUACUUUUUUUUUGGAAAUUUUAGAGUUUGGUGAAGCUGUUGAGCUUAUUUUGAAUUUGGAAGAAGAAAUUAUUAAAUUCCUGCAUUUUGAAUAAAAAAUCUCAUAGAAAAAAAUCAAGAGCAAGACUGUUUGAAGUUUCUACUGCCUCGUCUUCUCAUUUCUCUAGGAUUCUAAAGUUUGUGCCGGAUAUAUAUUGCUGUUGCUGUUGAUUGUUGCUUGUGCGGAGCUCUGUCCCCAUUCUCUUAGCCUUUUCAUGUCCCAUUAAGCAUUUGUGAUUCGAGUUUUGCGGACAAGUUUGUCGCUGGGCUAUCUUGUAAUCGCCUUCUGGAAAAUUAAUCGAAAAAUAUCGUUCAGGCAAUGGUAUUUACCAAGACAUGCUGCGAAUGCUCGAAGAUAAGCGAUUCAAUGCUUGUUCUAAAGUAGUAGUUGGUCUAAACUUCAGCUAUCCAAGUAGAAUUGACUUAAAUUACAACAAUAACUUAUUAAGGUUUUGUUCAUUCUCUUCAUGUUUGGUUUAGCUUUGCAUUCGUGUGGUUUGUUCACCUCGUCUUGAUCCGUAAAACUACUGUAGAACUGCCGUCGCUAUUAUUUUUCUUGUUUUUGUCCUGUUGAUCUUACGUCGUUUGGUUUCUAUUGCUGGUCUGCUCUUGUUAGGAUGCGUCUGCCGAUUUUCUAGUGUCCUCCAUUUGAUUCUAUGGACAUGACAAAUCUGAUGGAAUCGAGCUAUUGUGAACAUCAAAUAUGUUUUGUUUGUUUCUUUCUAUCGAAAAAAGGUUUAUAAAGUAAGCUGAUAUUUUUGUUUUUCUAACAGCUAAAUGAAAUUUUCCUUGUUUUCCCACUGGGAUCAAUCCGUAACUUUUUUUUGGUGAUUCAUUUGAAAAUUGGACUUGGGGAUUGAACAAUUGUGGGAUUUUGUUGUUUGGUUCAUGGGAUAUGAUAAUAUUUGUAAUGG
rnacentral:lncRNA from 1 species